UACGGAGGGUGCUAGCGUUGUUCGGAAUUACUGGGCGUAAAGGGCGCGUAGGCGGCCGUUUGCGUCGGAUGUGAAAGCCCGGGGCUCAACCCCGGAACGGCGUCCGAUACGGGGCGGCUCGAGGCCGGGAGAGGGGGGUGGAAUACCCAGUGUAGAGGUGAAAUUCGUAGAUAUUGGGUGGAACACCGGUGGCGAAAGCGGCCCCCUGGCCCGGUCCUGACGCUGAGGCGCGAAAGCGUGGGGAGCGAACAGG
rnacentral:rRNA from 1 species